AUGGCCAUGGCGGAGCCAUGCUAUCCCGUGCUCCCGGACCAUGUCAUCGAGGACAUCUUGGCGCGGCUGCCGGCCAAGACGGUGCUCCGGUGCCGCUGCCUCUCUCGCGCCUGGGCGGCCACGCUCUCUACGGACGACUUCGCCGACCGCCACCUCCGUCUCGCCAACCGUCACGGCAGCCCCAGGAUUCUCAUCAUGCAGGCCGCGCUGUCUCGCGAGUCACUCCCGAAGAUCCACGCGUGGUCGCCGGAACACCCUGCCUGCACGACGCUCAUGGAGUUCCACGGCGCGGUCACACGGUGUAACCGCGGUCCGCUGUGGCCUCUCGUCAGACGCAACGGCCGGAACACCGACGCGGACAAUGUCGUUCCACUUGUCGUCACCAUGCAGUGUCGCGGCCUGGUCAUCGUCGAGGCCAUCGGUGCAGGGUUACACUUCGUGUUCAACCCAUCCACGGGCCAGAUGGCGGCCCUCCCAGAGGGCCGGCACAUAGGCUUCCCCAUACCUGACCGUAGGUAUGCGAGUCUAGGGAUCGGCUACGACACGAUCAGUAAGAAACACAAAGUUGUACGUGUCUACUACCGCGGAUCCGACGUGGAUAACCUCCCGGCAUCUGGCGCUGGAUGCGAGGUCUACGUGGUAAACUCCGGGGGGCUUUGGAGGCCGGCGAACGGCGGCGCCCGGGAGAGACCGCCGGGCUGGGUAAAGCAAGAUGGCAAGAGCGUAUUUGCACAAGGUCAUGUGCAUUGGUUGGCCAGGAGCAAGCUCAACCCCCCUAAUAAGCGGGAAACUUGGGCUUUCAUCGCCACUUUCUCUCUCAGCGACGAGACUUUUGGGACCGUGCAGUUCCCACUCAACGAGCAUUGCAAUAGCGUACUUGGGCACUACUUGACGGAGAUGGGCGGGCGCCUAUGCCUCAUUAGCUGGGUACUCAAGAAGGUCGAAUGGUCACGGCCGCAUCUCUACUACAUCUGGCUACUAAGGAGACAUGAAACUAGCACCUGGGAUCUGCACUGCAUAAUCGACCUGGACACGUCGUCGCCGGAGGUACUUAGGUUCAUGCACGCCCGUCAAUUCGUCAGCCCACUCGCCAUGAUCGACAACGGUCGUCGCGUCGUCCUCGUACAUGUACAACCACGCCACCUCCAAUUCGACAGCGCAGCAGAUUUCGAAUUGUGCGCGUACAACCCUGAAACCGGCGAUAUGGAGAAUCUCCUGGACCAAAGUGGCUUGCUCUCUAAUCAAGGCAUGGUCAUAGGGCAGCCCACAUUCUACGAGGAAAGCAUCGCCUAUCCCGGGCAGCCGCACGAGGACAUAAUCUUCGCCAUGUCACUGGUGCUACGACAGAUGUCGAAGCGCACUCUUACAAGGCUCAGGUUUGUUUGCCGGAGCUGGCGCGCAAUGAUCGAGAGCAGCGACUUUCUCGAGAAACGACGUAGGGUGCUCAUGCGUAGUAUGUGCAGAUUUUGA
rnacentral:rRNA from 1 species